rnacentral:rRNA from 1 species
UCAGACGAUGCGUCAUGCAUAUCAAUAAGCGGAGGAAAAGAAACUAACAAGGAUUCCCCUAGUAACGGCGAGUGAAGCGGGAAGAGCUCAAAUUUGAAAUCUUCAAGGUUUUACCUUGACGAAUUGUAGUUUAAAGAAGUGUUUUCUGUUGAGGUUUUGGUAAAAGUUCUUUGGAAUAGGACAUCAUAGAGGGUGAGAAUCCCGUCUAUGAUUGCGAUUUGUAGCUUUGUGAUACACUUUCAAAGAGUCGGGUUGUUUGGGAAUGCAGCCCAAAACGGGAGGUAAAUUUCUUCUAAGGCUAAAUAUUGGCGAGAGACCGAUAGCGAACAAGUACCGUGAGGGAAAGAUGAAAAGAACUUUGAAAAGAGAGUCAAACAGUACGUGAAAUUGUCAAAAGGGAAGCGUUUGACACCAGUGUUGUUUUCUGAAAAUCAACCUCUGUUAGCUUUAUGCAUGUUUGUUUAGACCUAAUCAGCUAUCUUGCAUGUUCUAUUGUUUGCAGUGGUGCACUUUUCAGUUUACAGGUCAACAUCAGUUUUUUUUACCGUAAAAAAGUUAAAGAAAGGUAGCUCAUGGCUCCGGUCGUGAGUGUUAUAGUCUUUUUCCUAUGCGGUAGGAGAGACUGAGGUCUGCAGUGUAGGCUAUUUGGCUAGAUACUCAGGUGCUAUGUGAUACCAUUUCAUAAACAACUUGUUGAUUAUGUUUUGUCUAUUGCAUACUCGCUUGUACUAUCAUACCUACGCUUAGGAUGUUGACUGAUAUGUAGUCGU